AACGAACGCUGGCGGCAUGCCUAACACAUGCAAGUCGAACGAGAUCUUCGGGUCUCGUGGCGCACGGGUGCGUAACGCGCGGGAAUCUGCCCUUUGGUUCGGAAUAACAGUCGGAAACGACUGCUGAUACCGGAUGAUGACGAAAGUCCAAAGAUUUAUUGCCGGUGGAUGAGCGCGCGUAGGAUUAGCUAGUUGGUGUGGUAAAGGCGCACCAAGGCGACGAUCCUUGGCUGGUCUGAGAGGAGGAUCAGCCACACUGGGACUGAGACACGGGCCAGAGUCCUACGGGAGGGAGCAGUGGGGAAUAUUGGCCAGUGGGGUAAUGCCUGAACUAGCAAUGCCGCGUGAUUGAUGAAGGCCUUAGGGUAGUAAGGCUCUUUUAGCCGGGAUGAUAGUGACAGUACCGGGAGAAUAAGCGCCGGCUAACUCCGUGCCAGCCGCCGCCGUAACAC
rnacentral:rRNA from 1 species